UACGUAGGGUGCAAGCGUUGUCCGGAAUUAUUGGGCGUAAAGAGCUCGUAGGCGGUUUGUCGCGUCGAAUGUGAAAACCCGGGGCUCAACCCCGGGCCUGCAUUCGAUACGGGCAGACUAGAGUUCGGUAGGGGAGUCUGGAAUUCCUGGUGUAGCGGUGAAAUGCGCAGAUAUCAGGAGGAACACCGGUGGCGAAAGGCGGGACUCUGGGCCGAUACUGACGCUGAGGAGCGAAAGCGUGGGGAGCAAAC
rnacentral:rRNA from 1 species